AGGACGAACGCUGGCGGCGUGCUUAACACAUGCAAGUCGAGCGGAAAGGCCCUUCGGGGUACUCGAGCGGCGAACGGGUGAGUAACACGUGAGCAACCUGCCCUUAGCUUCGGGAUAGCUCCGGGAAACCGGAAUUAAUACCGAAUAUGACUUUGGCUGACAUCAGCAGAAGUGGAAAGUUUUUCGGCUAGGGAUGGACUCGCGGCCUAUCAGCUAGUUGGUGAGGUAACGGCCCACCAAGGCGACGACGGGUAGCCGGCCUGAGAGGGCGACCGGCCACACUGGGACUGAGACACGGCCCAGACUCCUACGGGAGGCAGCAGUGGGGAAUAUUGCGCAAUGGGCGAAAGCCUGACGCAGCGACGCCGCGUGGGGGAUGAAUGCCUUCGGGUUGUAACCCCUUUUGUCAGGGAAGAAACAAAUGACGGUACCUGACGAAUAAGCCCCGGCUAACUACGUGCCAGCAGCCGC
rnacentral:rRNA from 1 species